UGCGUAGGCGGCGCCGUAAGUCGGGUGUGAAAUUUCGGAGCUUAACUCCGAAACUGCAUUCGAUACUGCGGUGCUUGAGGACUGGAGAGGAGACUGGAAUUCAUGGUGUAGCAGUGAAAUGCGUAGAGAUCAUGAGGAAGACCAGUGGCGAAGGCGGGUCUCUGGACAGUUCCUGACACUGAGGCACGAAGGCCAGGGGAGCAAACG
rnacentral:rRNA from 1 species